GCCACCCUCCCGACGCCACCCCUCCCACCCCACGUACCUGCGGGUAAGGGCUGUAGGCUGCGGCGAAGUACGGCUUGGGGGGACCAUACACUUGGUACAUAACAUCCAGACAGCUCAUGGCUGUCCGCGGCCGCUAAUUCGUUUUUCGGUCAUCAACUCGCGUUCUGCAGAGCGGAGCAGUGCUCGGCGGGAGGGAGGAUCCCGGGGGUUAAGAGGCACGGCUCACUGUGGGAGGAGUGAUUGAGGGGUGAGACCGCGCCGCGCUGAGGUCCCCCCCGGCUCUGCCUCCCCCCCACGCAGCGCGGCUCCCUCCCGGCGCCCGCAACCGCGCUGCGGCUCCGCGGGACGGGGGGACUCAACCCAGGGCAGGGAGGGGAGAGCCCCCUUCCGCCCGCCGUGCCGGGGCGGGUUUCCCCGGACGAAGCAGGGACCGUCCUGCAAGGAAGGUAAUGCCCCCAGACCCAGAGUGCGCCUGGGAACGCUGGCACCAGAGCUCCGGGAUCAGCCGAAGCUGGAGAAAAGUUAUCUCACCGGGAGGAACCUUCCUAGAAACGUAGGAUGGGAAAUGCCGGGAAUGAAUGAGGAUGCUUGUGCACGGUUCCUGUGGUAAAAACAACCCGUAGGGAAGGUAAAGCGGCUUACCCCUCGGCUUCCCGGUGAGCGCAAGCACACGGACAGGUGAACGCAUCCCAGCGCAGCUUCGACGGCGGUGUGCAGGAGAGCUCGGUCUGUAACACACGGAUGGAGGCUCUCAUGUCGGUGCCAGCUCCUGAAGCAUCCAUAGCGUGGCUCAUAGCGACUGAGGAAAGGGACCCGAUUGAACUUAGUUGUAAGGCUUUCGAAACGAAGACGAAAAUACGGGGGGGAAAUGAAAGAACGUUACCUGGUUUUCAAAUAAUAAGGGGGAAAACUGAAAAGAAUGAGCACUUUGAAUUGUGAAGGCCUGGAAUUCUUUCAUUACGUUUUAGAAGAAAAUCUUUAUAAUUAAAAAGAUUUGCAUUUGUCUCUGUUUUGUUUGUCAAAAAUGCAGUUUUUAUAAUCCAGAUCCUAGGAGCUGUUGCGAAUGCUCAUCCUUUGCCAAAAAAAUCAGUGCCUCAUGAACAUAAGUUGUUUGGGCUUUUUUUCUGUACCAGGUGCAGAAAAUUCAUAAUUUAAACAUUUUUUUUCCUCCCUCUUCUAAUUCAGUAAAUUUGUUUUCUGUACUGCAAUGCAGCUCAGAGCCCCGGCUGCACGGCUCAGCCCCAGCACUGCUCCCCGUGCUGCCAACCCAAAUCAAUUGUGUGCUCAUGGCUGGGAUGGGAACGAAGGGAAGGACUGCAGGUACCAGGCCUUAAAAAAAGCCGUAUCUAACACUCUAUGGCUUCAUUUCUUCUGUUCAGGAAGCAAAUACCCGCAGUAGAGGGAAGGACUCGCCCCAUGGCCGGCAUCCAAAAGGCUGCGCUCAGUGGAAGAAUGCACCAGCUCCCUGCAGCAGGAGCCUGAGGGACCUCACUGGGACCACAGGGCCCCUCUCCCAGCCUGGUGUCCCCCACCAGGCAGCGUCCCCAUCCCGAGGAGGUUGGGGUCUGUCUCAAAGGUAUCAGUCUGCUGGGUGACACAUUUACAAGUGAGUACACUUGGAACAUGCGCUCUGAAAGCACAGCACAUUUCCCUGCUGGUUGCACAAGCUCUUCUCCGGUGACUCUGUGCAAUAGCAAAGGUAACACCUGACCCUCACCAUGGCUGAGCAUGUGCUUCGUGCAAGGAGAAAAAGCAAAGUGCAGCAGCAACAGGCGACUGUGUGCAACGGUGUGGCAGAGUCCAGGCUGCAUCCCCUGGAGUAUCUCUCCCUGAGGGCUGAAUUGAGUGGGUUUACCUCACCUCCAAGUACAUGUUACUGGAAGCGGCGCUAAUGUGGCUUGGUGUGUACACAGCUACUUGACUGUAAAGCUGCCUCAUGUAAGACAUGAGCAAACUGUUGUACUUCAAGGCAGAGCAGUGCGAGCAUUCAUGAAAAAGUGUCGGCAUUGUUUUAGCACUCUCUGAAAUCAGUCUCCAUGUAGGAAAUUAUCCUGGAAUUCUUGGGUCAGCAUUAUAUUCAAUAAUGAUCUCACUGCUUAAGUAUAAUUAUAUAUAAAUGGUUUUUCUUGGUCCUAACUAAAGGACUUUAGGUGAGUUGACUCACAUAAAGAACAACAAAGGCUUGAAAUAAAACCAUCUGAGUUAUCCUAGAGAGAAAAUAAUGAUAGCAAUGAGGGAAAGAACAUUUUUAGAAAGGAUAUUGGCUUAGAGCUGGCUGUGUACCAUUAAAGCACUGGCAUGGGCCUCAGCCUGUGUUCAUAGGCAGGUAAUGUUCCACUGCAGUAAUGUGAAAAGGAAAUCUCGUUUUGUAGCUUCUUGCUAUGGCUGAAGAAUGGUGGGCUCUGACAAACAGGGAGUUGCAGAGCCUUGCAACAUGCCUUGGGCGCAUUCCUAUAACACAAUCCAAAGUUAUCUUCUAAUUAAGCUGCAAUCUUUCACAAAAGAAUGGGGCAUUACUGUGAACAGUCCUCUGGACAGGCAAACGCCCCAUCAAACAAAGCAUUAACACUCAGAAAUACGGGGACAAAAAGGCAAGGGAAAUGUGACAGGACUGACAGCAUGUGCUGCUCACCAUCUCUGUGAGUGCUGCAUCCAGCACCAGCACCACACCCUGUGCACAGCGAUCUCCCUAGCCAGCAUACGAUUCAGGAAUUAAACAUGUAUCAGCCAGUAGAGAUCCUUCUGGUUUUGAAUCAACCCAAAUGAAUAUCUUAUGCUGUUGAUAACACACUUUUUCAGAAGCUCGGGGAAACUAAUAUUGACUCCAGGGAGGCACAAUCUGCCAACUGGGAGAGACCGCGGGCUGCAAGGGGAAUUCUGCCCCUGCCUUAGCAGUCUGUCGCUGUGCUCAACAGCCUUCAGUGCUUCCCACUUCCACUUGGAGUAGAUCUGGCUCCAGCUUCCAGCUGUUGCUUCCUGUAAUGCCUUACUGCACAUAGCUGAAGUGUCCUUUCAGAUGUAAUAUUUUGUGAAACCUUUUUUAUUCCACAUAUUUAUCUUUUCUUUUUUCCUGAGAGAAGACACAGAUACACCUCCUUAAUAUUCCGAAGACUUUUUAUACCUUUUUAUACCAUUUUUCUUGUGCUCUGUGCAGUUUUUCAACUACAAUUGUAGAAUUUUGAAACAAGAACUCGUUACUUACUUUUACCCUCUUUUGCCAGAGGUGUGUGUGAAGUAAAGUACCUUCUUAGCAACUUCUGUUUAUGCUUGAGGAUUGCAUCUAUUUAUUUGUCUGUUUGUUUAUCUGUUUGUUUGUUUGUUUAUUGCCACAACAGAAUUUUAAAGACAAGGAGUGCACGCUUCCCCGCUUUCCCACUGGGACCUCUAUGUAUUUUCGCUAUUAGAAGUCCAAACUAUGGACUACACUGUGAUGAGGACAGAUGGUAGGGGGUUAAUUCUGAUGCUUCUUCCGAGCCGUCAUAUAGCUGACUGAGACUGCACACAACCAACUCAAUGCUUUGGCGAUGCCAUGCAAUCAUAUGACACCUGCUCGUGCUGCCCAUAGUGUCAUUCUUUCCAGGACCCUUUCCACUGCCCACCUGCUGUGUUCCUAGAUGUGCAGCACUGCUACUGGCUCCAUUCACAUGCUGCUUGCUUGAAAGUGCCCGCAGGCUUACCAGCAGGCUCGGGUCUUUCCAUAUGUCCCAUUUCCCAUCUUACUCACCAGCCUUCUUGCCAGCACAUUACCUACAAAAUUUAUUGGUCAGAUUUUAUAUCAAUUUUCAAAUUGUCCGUGAGCAUCUUGAACAGUCCACAAACUAUCUAAUACAAAUACUCCUAUAUAAUAAAGAUUUUCUGCUGCUCCAGUUUUAUGCAUUUUUGUCCAUUUUUUAUGUGUUUCGUUUUUGUGUGUAACGUCUCCUCUAUGAGAUGUUAACUUCGGUUUCAACAGGCUUCCUGUUUCUGUGCUCUUAUUUUAGUCUCAAAUGUCUGAAGGGUUCAGUGCAUACCUAACUUUAAGUUAGACAUAUAAUUGGUGGGUUUUCAGGGGUGAAAUCUGGCUGAAAUGAAUGAAGAUUAACACCUCCAUUUUUGUUUCUUAUCCAUGUAGUCCCUGUGUUCAGUCUUCCUAAAAGAUCUCUGUUUCUUCUUAGGACACGGCAACUGUUACCAUGGUUUUCUCAGCAUUGUUUCUGAGGUGCAGUCCCUGGGUCCAUGUGGGUGAAGAUUUCAGGGUCAGAAAUUGCUGGUUUGAUUGCAUUCAUGGGCACUGAAUUCAUGAAGCUUACAGAUAAAAUUCAGCAUGAUAAAGUUUCAGACAGAGGGAGGUAGGUGGCAGAGGAAGACUGCAGCUUGAGAAAGUGAGUAGCUAGAUGCAAGGAAACAACAAGACUGCCAGAUUCUUAGCUGAGCAUAAACAGGCACAAAGGAGUCUUUGGUUGAAAAAUGAUGUGAUCCAACAAACUAUCAUGACAAGUACUUGCAUGUCAGCUGCAGAUUACGGUCCAUUAGAUUUGGGUGCGCAGUGGAGAGAGACCUACCUUUGAUAACUCAAAGACAGGAGGUACACUAUGUGGGCCAUAACCAGGUAUUGUAAUAUGCUUCAAAGAAUCUGUGGACGAGAGGAUUUCUUGUUUAUUACCAGCAAUGUCAAAUGACAGGUGCGAAAUAAAUUUUAUCUAAAAAGCUUGUGUGAUGGUCAAGUUUUGGAGGUGUUGAGAACCAAACACUUUGACAUUACACUCUGUGUAGUCAUUCCAGUGGUUCAUAAACACCUAGUUCUGGCAGUCUGAAUCCAGACAUCGAGGAAAAAAUCUGUGGUGCUGAAUUUACUCUGAGCAAUCAGAAUCUCAUCCACUGACCCCC
rnacentral:lncRNA from 1 species